CAGCAGCCGCGGGAAAACGAAGGGGGCUAGCGUUGUUCGGAUUUACUGGGCGUAAAGGGCGCGUAGGCGGACUGAUAAGUCAGGGGUGAAAUCCCAAGGCUCAACCUUGGAACUGCCUUUGAUACUGUUUGUCUUGAGUUCGAGAGAGGUAAGUGGAACUGCGAGUGUAGAGGUGAAAUUCGUAGAUAUUCGCAAGAACACCAGUGGCGAAGGCGGCUUACUGGCUCGAAACUGACGCUGAGGCGCGAAAGCGUGGGGAGCAAACAGGAUUAGAUACCCCAGUAGUCCCUGUCUCUUAUAC
rnacentral:rRNA from 1 species